GAAUCUAACAAUUAAAGUGUGCUAUGGAGAAGUUUUGACAAAACAGUGGAAACAAAAAAUAAUGCAGAAGAAUAAUCA
rnacentral:rRNA from 16 species